UCGAAAUAUUUCAGGGGUGAGAAAAGUAUGCUUCCUCCGGCCCCGGUUUGCUCCACCGGAAAGAUUCCGAUAGUCAUUGAGGACCUCCUCCAUCGCCGGUGGUUCGUCGCCGUCCUUGCCAUCUUUCCCCAUCACAAUCAGCACCUACAGGAAAACGCUAAAAGCCGAAGCCUUUCUCUUCUUUGGUUUUUUUCGCUAUUCCUUUUUUCCCCUGUCCUGUUCUCGCUGUGCGGGCCCCACUUACAAGCCCUAAUCCUUUUCCCGGCCAAAAACGGCGGCGCUAGAGACGGCGAUGGCGAAAACGGCGGAACAAACAUAAUCACGAAGUAUCACAUAUCAAAUUCCGGCAUCAACGAGACGGAACUCCUGCGUCUCUUCUCGUCUAUGCCUUGUCGCAACUUGGUUUCUCAGAUAUUGUAGGGUAUAUUUUGACUAAUCGCUUGAAGAUUUGGAGUGGAUGCAGAACGACCACGUCACAUCUCUGUGCCAGUUGUUGACUUAUGAUUUCUCUUCGCAAUUUCAAUGAGAAAAUCAGAGAAAGUUAACAUUCGACGGGAAACGAAAGAGGCAAAGGGAGAAGGUAACGGGUGCUUCUCUUUGUCUCUUGAUCUCCAACAAUUCAAGAAACUCCGCCAUAUUGAUAGCUUUCACAGAUUCAAGAGGCAAAGGAUGGGAGACAAAUGAUUUUGUUGUUGCGAAGAGAUUGUUCCAGGAUGACCCAUGAUGGUUUUAUUGAAAACAGUAGACGCUGCCGGCGAGCAUUUUAUGAUGCAUGAUGAUGAUCUCUUAAUUAUAAGGUUGAUGGGUUCCGGUUAGACCUCAUGGGUCAUCAAAUGAAAUCUACCAUGGUAAACAGCUUUGGUGUCCCUCUCUAUUUAAGAUUUACAUGCUUCUCGUAAUAUGCUCAAGGGAGAAGGCGUGGUGAUUUCUAUAGAAUGUCCCCGUGAUAAUAGUUUAAAUUUUCAUCAAGAUCAUUCUCAAAAGUUUGUUUGUCUUAAAGAUUUCUAUAAAAUGCCUCGAUGAAAACAGCUUUGAUGGCUCAAGUAUUUACUUGUAGGUCUUGGUUCAUGAUCAAAGAUACGUGCUUUUAGGACACUGUU